rnacentral:rRNA from 1 species
UAGGGAAUAUUGCACAAUGGAGGCAACUCUGAUGCAGCGACGCCGCGUGAGUGAUGAAGGCCUUCGGGUCGUAAAGCUCUGUCGCAGGGGAAUAAUAAAGUGAAUGUACCCUGUAAGAAAGGAUCGGCUAACUUCGUGCCAGCAGCCGCGGUAAGACGAGGGAUCCUAGCGUUGUUCGGAAUUAUUGGGCGUAAAGCGGGUGUAGGUGGCUAUGUAAGUCAGGUGUGAAAGCCUGGGGCUUAACCCCAGAAGUGCAUCUGAUACUGCGUAGCUUGAGUGCCGGAGAGGUUAGUAGAAUUGUUGGUGUAGUGGUGAAAUACGUAGAUAUCAACAGGAAUACCGGAGGCGAAGGCGGCUAACUGGCCGGACACUGACACUCAGACCCGAAAGUGCGGGGAUC